rnacentral:rRNA from 1 species
UCGGUGCUAAUACCGCAUACGCCCUACGGGGGAAAGCGGGGGAUCUUCGGACCUCGCGUUAUUGGAUUGGCCUAUGUCUGAUUAGCUAGUUGGUGAGGUAAAGGCUCACCAAGGCUUCCAUCAGUAUCUGGUCUGAGAGGAUGAUCAGCCACACUGGAACUGAGACACGGUCCAAACUCCUACGGGAGGCAGCAGUGGGGAAUUUUGGACAAUGGGCGAAAGCCUGAUCCAGCCAUUCCGCGUGAGUGAAGAAGGCCUUCAGGUUGUAAAGCUCUUUCGGCAGGAACGAAAUGGUCACGGUUAAUAAC